rnacentral:rRNA from 1 species
UACGAAGGGAGCUAGCGUUGUUCGGAAUUACUGGGCGUAAAGCGCACGUAGGCGGACUUUUAAGUCAGGGGUGAAAUCCCGGGGCUCAACCUCGGAACUGCCUUUGAUACUGGAAGUCUUGAGGUCGAGAGAGGUGAGUGGAAUUCCUAGUGUAGAGGUGAAAUUCGUAGAUAUUAGGAAGAACACCGGUGGCGAAGGCGGCUCACUGGCUCGAUACUGACGCUGAGGUGCGAAAGCGUGGGGAGCAAACAGG